rnacentral:misc_RNA from 1 species
CCCCAGGAUACAAAAUGUUAAAAAAAGAAUGAUCAACUAAUAAGAGGCAUGUUUAAUGUACAGAGACGGGGGAAAAAUGAUAAUAAUCUACCGAAAGUUUUUGUCUAUUCUAUCUCAGUUUCCCGUUUGAUCAUGUCAUCGCCAUCUAUAUUAUCAGGAGCUGAAUCAGCUUUUUCAGCCUCAAGGCUUUUCAGCUGGAGUUCAAGCUUCAGCCUAUUAAGUUCGAGAUCCUUCUCUUCUAGCUCCUCUUGCAAUACAAGUACCAUUUCAUUUGAUUUCACCACGUCAUUAGUCAGGCCCUCCAUGUGUUUGUGAAGUCCUUCAAAUUGACUCC